GGUGAGUAAUGUCUGGGAAACUGCCUGAUGGAGGGGGAUAACUACUGGAAACGGUAGCUAAUACCGCAUAACGUCUUCGGACCAAAGUGGGGGACCUUCGGGCCUCACGCCAUCAGAUGUGCCCAGAUGGGAUUAGCUAGUAGGUGGGGUAAUGGCUCACCUAGGCGACGAUCCCUAGCUGGUCUGAGAGGAUGACCAGCCACACUGGAACUGAGACACGGUCCAGACUCCUACGGGAGGCAGCAGUGGGGAAUAUUGCACAAUGGGCGCAAGCCUGAUGCAGCCAUGCCGCGUGUGUGAAGAAGGCCUUCGGGUUGUAAAGCACUUUCAGCGAGGAGGAAGGGUAGUGUGUUAAUAGCACAUCGCAUUGACGUUACUCGCANAAGAAGCACCGGCUAACUCCGUGCCAGCAGCCGCGGUAAUACGGAGGGUGCAAGCGUUAAUCAGAAUUACUGGGCGUAAAGCGCACGCAGGCGGUUUGUUAAGUCAGAUGUGAAAUCCCCGCGCUUAACGUGGGAACUGCAUUUGAAACUGGCAAGCUAGAGUCUUGUAGAGGGGGGUAGAAUUCCAGGUGUAGCGGUGAAAUGCGUAGAGAUCUGGAGGAAUACCGGUGGCGAANGCGGCCCCCUGGACAAAGACUGACGCUCANGUGCGAAAGCGUGGGGAGCAAACAGGANUAGAUACCCUGGUAGUCCACGCU
rnacentral:rRNA from 1 species